UGGGGAAUCUUGGACAAUGGGCGAAAGCCUGAUCCAGCGACGCCGCGUGGGGGAUGAAGCCCUUCGGGGUGUAAACCCCUGUUGCGAGGGAGGAAUAAGGCCUGGAGGAAAUGCCAGGCCGAUGACUGUACCUCGCGAGGAAGCCCCGGCUAACUACGUGCCAGCAGCCGCGGUAAUACGUAGGGGGCGAGCGUUACCCGGAUUCACUGGGCGUAAAGCGGGUGUAGGCGGCUCGGUAAGUCGGGUGUGAAAUCCCACAGCUCAACUGUGGAAUUGCGCCCGAAACUGCUGAGCUUGGGGCCGGUAGAGGGAGACGGAACUGCCGGUGUAGGGGUGAAAUCCGUAGAUAUCGGCAGGAACGCCGGUGGGGAAGCCGGUCUCCUGGGCCGCGCCCGACGCUGAGACCCGAAAGCUAGGGGAGCAAACCGGAUUAGAUACCCGGGUAGUCCUAGCCGUAAACGAUGCCCACUAGGUGUGGGGGAUUAAUUCCUCCGUGCUGUAGCUAACGCGUUAAGUGGGCCGCCUGGGGAGUACGCCCGCAAGGGUGAAACUCAAAGGAAUUGGCGGGACCCCGCACAAGCGGUGGAGCGCGUGGUUUAAUUGGAUGCUGAGCCAAGAACCUUACCAGGGCUUGACAUGCAGGUGGUACCGACCCGAAAGGGGAGGGACCCCAUCCUUUUGGAUGGCGAGCCUGCACAGGUGGCGCACGGCCGUCGUCAGCUCGUGCCGUGAGGUGUUGGGUUAAGUCCUGCAACGAGCGCAACCUCCUGUCCUUAGUUGCUAUCGUUUCCGGUUGACACUUCUAACGGUUACUGACCCGCAAGUACCGGGUAGGAAUUGAGGCGACGAUUUCACGAACUGGAAGCUCGUGUGAACUCUCGCGCCCCUACAGUAAUCUGCGAUCGCUGCGUGGCACUGCAUUUACGACUGAGCGAUCGUGUGACUGAAACGCUUCAACCCGAUCUUGCGAAU
rnacentral:rRNA from 1 species